AACGAACGCUGGCGGCGUGGAUAAGACAUGCAAGUCGAACGCUUGCUUUAGGGUAGCAAUAUUCUGAAGCAGGAGUGGCGCAAGGGUGCGUAACACGUGGGUUAUUUGCCGUGAAGCUGGGAAUAACUCGUUGAAAGACGAGCUAAUACCCAAUGUGCUCCGCAAGGAGUAAAGCCGGGGACCGCAAGGCCUGGCACUUCACGAUAAGCCCGCGGCCUAUCAGCUAGUUGGCGGGGUAAAAGCCCACCAAGGCUAAGACGGGUAGCUGGUCUGAGAGGACGACCAGCCACACUGGAACUGAGACACGGUCCAGACACCUACGGGUGGCAGCAGUCGAGAAUUUUUCACAAUGGGCGAAAGCCUGAUGGAGCGACGCCGCGUGGGGGACGAAGGGCUUCGGCUCGUAAACCCCUGUCAUUUGCGAACAAUGGCGCCAACCUAAUACGUUGUCGUCUGAUAGUAGCAGAAGAGGAAGGGACGGCUAACUCUGUG
rnacentral:rRNA from 1 species